UGUUGGGAUACAACCUUGUUUACCUCGGAAACGAGUGGAUGAGACGAGACUGCCUGGUACUUACCUCAGAAAUAAAGCUAACAUGCUAACUGACAGAUGACGUCAUGACACUGAAUUCCCUGGAGCUGGUAUAAAGUGUGACCGACAGACCUACUAUGGUGCGGACCUACAGAGAUGUUACGACGCGACCUACUGAGACACCACAUAAGCAGGUCGACCCUCCUGAUGCAGGUGUAGUGUGAUGAUCGGGAACUGAACAGUCGCCGUCUUCAUCCCACUUCUUCCCGCCAUACACCGGCAGGAGUUGGUUUUGGUUCUAGUGCUUGGCAUGAGGUGGCACCACGACAGACAGCAGGCCAGUGCAGCAGCAGACCGUGAUUAGACAGUGGACAGGACGUCGGACAGUACUGGAGACGGUAGUAACACUCCUGUGGGGAGUAACGUGCAGAAAUGAGAGACCGGAGCCGCUCUGCUGUAUUUCUAUCAUCGUUCCACACAGAUGUAACGUCCCGUCAGUUUCCUGCCGCUG